rnacentral:rRNA from 1 species
GAUGUAGUUUCAUGGAGCCUUAAUAAGAAGAAGAGAUUCUCCACUAAAUCAGUUUAUGAGUGGCUAGAGAGGGAUUUAGCUGGUCCGAAUUACAAAUGGAUUUGGAAAGCUAAUAUUCCUUUAAAAAUUAAAAUCUUCUUGUGACAAUUGUUUCAAAAUGCUGUGCUUACAUGGGAUAACUUGCGGAAAAGGAACUGGCCUGGGAAUCCUGCAUGUUCCUUCUGCAACAACAUGGAAGAUGCUAAUCAUCUGUUCUUUACGUGUCCGCUUGCCCGAACUAUUUGGGGGGUCUUGGGUGCAACGGUUGGGGCUUUCUGUUGUCCCCGAUCAUUAUGGCAAUGUUGGGCGUGGCUAUAUAAAUUUUUCCCAGGCGAAAAGAAAUUCUAUAUGAUGAUUAUUGCUGCUAUUUGCUGGGGGAUCUGGUGCCUCCGAAAUAAAGUUCUUUUGAUAAAUACAAUGCUCGUACUCCGCUGGAGGCUGUUUUCAGUGCUUGUUCUUUUAUGUUGUACUGGGCAGGAUUGCUGA